rnacentral:rRNA from 1 species
UACGGAGGGGGCGAGCGUUGUCCGGAUUUAUUGGGCGUAAAGAGCUCGUAGGCGGCUUGGCAAGUCGGGUGUGAAACCUCCAGGCUCAACCUGGAGACGCCACUCGAUACUGCCAUGGCUAGAGUCCGGUAGGGGACCACGGAAUUCCUGGUGUAGCGGUGAAAUGCGCAGAUAUCAGGAGGAACACCGGUGGCGAAGGCGGUGGUCUGGGCCGGCACUGACGCUGAGGAGCGAAAGCGUGGGUAGCAAACAGG